UACGUAGGGUGCAAGCGUUGUCCGGAAUUAUUGGGCGUAAAGAGCUCGUAGGCGGUCUGUUGCGUCGGCUGUGAAAACCCGGGGCUCAACCCCGGGCCUGCAGCCGAUACGGGCAGACUAGAGUUCGGCAGGGGAGACUGGAAUUCCUGGUGUAGCGGUGAAAUGCGCAGAUAUCAGGAGGAACACCAGUGGCGAAGGCGGGUCUCUGGGCCGAUACUGACGCUGAGGAGCGAAAGCGUGGGGAGCGAACAGG
rnacentral:rRNA from 1 species